AUUGAACGCUGGCGGCAGGCCUAACACAUGCAAGUCGAACGGUAACAGGAAGCAGCUUGCUGCUUCGCUGACGAGUGGCGGACGGGUGAGUAAUGUCUGGGAAGCUGCCUGAUGGAGGGGGAUAACUACUGGAAACGGUAGCUAAUACCGCAUAAUGUCGCAAGACCAAAGAGGGGGACCUUCGGGCCUCUUGCCAUCGGAUGUGCCCAGAUGGGAUUAGCUUGUUGGUGGGGUAACGGCUCACCAAGGCGACGAUCCCUAGCUGGUCUGAGAGGAUGACCAGCCACACUGGAACUGAGACACGGUCCAGACUCCUACGGGAGGCAGCAGUGGGGAAUAUUGCACAAUGGGCGCAAGCCUGAUGCAGCCAUGCCGCGUGUAUGAAGAAGGCCUUCGGGUUGUAAAGUACUUUCAGCGGGGAGGAAGGGAGUAAAGUUAAUACCUUUGCUCAUUGACGUUACCCACAGAAGAAGCACCGGCUAACUCCGUG
rnacentral:rRNA from 1 species